rnacentral:rRNA from 1 species
UACGUAGGGCGCAAGCGUUGUCCGGAAUUAUUGGGCGUAAAGAGCUCGUAGGCGGCCAGUUGCGUCUGCUGUGAAAUCCCGGGGCUCAACCCCGGGCGUGCAGUGGAUACGGGCUGGCUAGAGGCAGGCAGGGGAGAACGGAAUUCCCGGUGUAGCGGUGAAAUGCGCAGAUAUCGGGAGGAACACCGGUGGCGAAGGCGGUUCUCUGGGCCUGUACUGACGCUGAGGAGCCGAAGACGUGGGGAGGCGAA